GAUGAAUGCUGGCGGCGUGCCUAAUACAUGCAAGUCGAGCGGCAGCGCGGGUAGUUUACUACCUGGCGGCGAGCGGCGGACGGCUGAGUAACGCGUGGGAACGUGCCCCAAAGUGAGGAAUAACUGCCCGAAAGGGUAGCUAAUGCCGCAUAUGCCCUUCGGAGUAAAGCUUUAUGCGCUUUGGGAGCGGCCCGCGUCCGAUUAGAUAGUUGGUGGGGUAAUGGCCAACCAAGUCGACGAUCGGUAGCUGGUCUGAGAGGAUGAUUAGCCAGACUGGGACUGAGACACGGCCCAGACUCCUACGGGAGGCAGCGGUAAGGAAUCUUCCACAAUGGGGGCAACCCUGAUGGAGCAACGCCGCGUGCAGGAUGAAGGCCUUCGGGUCGUAAACUGCUUUUAUGAGUGAAGAAUAUGACGGUAACUCAUGAAUAAGCACCGGCUAACUACGUGCCAGCCGCCGCCGUAACAC
rnacentral:rRNA from 1 species